CAGCAGUGGGGAAUAUUGCACAAUGGGGGAAACCCUGAUGCAGCGACGCCGCGUGGAGGAAGAAGGUCUUCGGAUUGUAAACUCCUGUUGUUGAGGAAGAUAAUGACGGUACUCAACAAGGAAGUGACGGCUAACUACGUGCCAGCAGCCGCGGUAAAACGUAGGUCACAAGCGUUGUCCGGAAUUACUGGGUGUAAAGGGAGCGCAGGCGGGAAGACAAGUUGGAAGUGAAAUCUAUGGGCUCAACCCAUAAACUGCUUUCAAAACUGUUUUUCUUGAGUAGUGCAGAGGUAGGCGGAAUUCCCGGUGUAGCGGUGGAAUGCGUAGAUAUCGGGAGGAACACCAGUGGCGAAGGCGGCCUACUGGGCACCAACUGACGCUGAGGCUCGAAAGUGUGGGUAGCAAACAGGAUUAGAUACCCUGGUAGUCCACACCGUAAACGAUGAUUACUAGGUGUUGGAGGAUUGACCCCUUCAGUGCCGCAGUUAACACAAUAAGUAAUCCACCUGGGGAGUACGACCGCAAGGUUGAAACUCAAAGGAAUUGACGGGGGCCCGCACAAGCAGUGGAGUAUGUGGUUUAAUUCGACGCAACGCGAAGAACCUUACCAAGUCUUGACAUCCUGCGACGAUGCUGGAAACAGUAUUUUCCUUCGGGACGCAGAGACAGGUGGUGCAUGGUUGUCGUCAGCUCGUGUCGUGAGAUGUUGGGUUAAGUCCCGCAACGAGCGCAACCCUUAUGGUCAGUUACUACGCAAGAGGACUCUGGCCAGACUGCCGUUGACAAAACGGAGGAAGGUGGGGAUGACGUCAAAUCAUCAUGCCCUUUAUGACUUGGGCUACACACGUACUACAAUGGCGUUAAACAAAGAGAAGCAAGACCGCGAGGUGGAGCAAAACUCAGAAACAACGUCCCAGUUCGGACUGCAGGCUGCAACUCGCCUGCACGAAGUCGGAAUUGCUAGUAAUCGUGGAUCAGCAUGCCACGGUGAAUACGUUCCCGGGCCUUGUACACACCGCCCGUCACACCAUGAGAGCCGGGGGGACCCGAAGUCGGUAGUCUAACCGCAAGGAGGACGCCGCCGAAGGUAAAACUGGUGAUUGGGGUGAAGUCGUAACAAGGUAGCCGUAGGAGAACCUGCGGCUG
rnacentral:rRNA from 1 species